GUCAGUUUUAGCUAUUGUGGUAGCUUUUUCUUCCGAAAGAAUUAGUCACAUUUUGGGAAAAGUUGUAUUAAUAAUCGUAUUACUGUGCAUUAGUCGUCAUACUUGCAAUAUUAACAAACCACAUUGAUUCUGGUAAAUUAAUGACACAUCCGAUAGGGUUUUACACUAUUCAGUUUGAAACUGUUUGAAUGGGCUGUAAAGCAACAUAAGAUUAUUAAUACAUUACAAUAAUAAUUACAUGAAAUUUUCAUAUGUAUGUUGCUUCACUUUUAACGUUACUUCAUUUUUAAAGUCAAUAGAGCCAACAGUUAUUGACAGAUCCAUACAAACAUCAGUGAGUGUGAAUUACGGCUAAAUUUGUCACGAGUCACAGAAAUGUUAGAAAAUUAAGUUAAAAAAAUUAAAAGCACCCUAAGAUUAAUAGUGUACUGUGUUAGGUGAAUAAAUAAUGUCCUUCUCCAGGUCUCAUUUUCCAAAACUGUAACAGCAGCUUCUGCAUUACGGAGAAAAUCAUGAACGUCAUUUUUACAGGAAGUUCAGCAGAGCUCCGGGGAUGCAUCUCCGUCCACAAGCCUCGGCUGAAGAUGAUGCACUCACGCUCUCCUGUUCCAUACUUGAGCACACGGAGGGGCCAGGCGUUAGGAGAAGAGUGUUGCCCGCUCCCCGGAGACAGAAGUGUGUGCUGCUGAAGUACCUGUGACCCUGCCAUGGCUCUGAGAAGACCAGUAGGUGCUCCUUUCUGAGACAGACAACCCCUCCCCAUCCUCUGCUGUGUAUCUAUUUUUCCUGUUUUAUUGCCGUUUGUGUUUGUUAUUUCUGUAAAGCUUCCCAUAGCAGGACGUACUUUAUAUGCUCGUAUAGGUUAGCUACACGUAGCACGGAGUUGAAAGUUCUCAGUGCUUGGCGAAGCCGCGUCAGAGGAGCUCUGCUGUUGUAGUUCUGAGAAGAGUGCUCAUGCUGCUUUAGGGUCGCACCCCCCCCCCGAGUGUGUCCUGGCUUAGCGGCAAACUGUGAACAGCAAUCGUGUGUUUUACUGCGCACAGACUGAUUGCGAGCGCCAGGUAGAAGAAGUGAGAUGUAUGAGAUGUAGGUCGCUUUGGAGAGAAGCGUCUGCUAAAUGAAUAAAUGUUAAAUGUAAAUGUGGGUGGGUGAUGCU
rnacentral:lncRNA from 1 species